AGAGCUUCCUCUUUCCUCCCUCCAGGUAGGUUGUCCUCUUCCCUCUCCCUAUUAUUUUUUUGUAAUUUAUUAAAAGCCUUAAUGCAGCAUGUCGGUUGGUCACCGUCGCCACUACUGCGCCAUCUGUGAUGCCACUAUGCUAGAAAAGUCCUUUACACCACUACUAUCUCUGGAAAAAAUUGAAGUCACGUAUAAAACGAAAAUUCAGAGAGUACGAUGAUAGCAAACAUUGAUAGGCUUCAAAUCGUCGCUAAACAGAAUGCCAGCGAUUUAAGGACUGGCUUCCUUUAGGACGCGGGAAUUGGAUUUUAUAGUGAUUUCCGGCAACCGCUAGUAUGACCGCUUCAAUUAAGAUAUUUUGUGUUGGUAGGAUUUGCUGUGAUUCCGAGCUGCAAAGGUGAUUUCUUCUUUCUUUUGCGACGCUCAUUAACCGCCACUAUUUGGUGCUACAAUAUUUUCUGAAAUUUUAUUUGUGGCGGUUUUGAAUCGCCGCCGUGUUA